GACGAACGCUGGCGGCGUGCCUAAUACAUGCAAGUCGAACGCAGUGGGGCCGGGUGAGUAACACGUGGGUAACCUCCCAUCAGAGGGGAUAACAGUUGGAAACAGGUGCAUAACUGAUACUGAUGGAGGGACGCGCGGUGUAUUAGCUUGUCGGAGGGGUAACGGCUCACCAAGUCCACGAUGCAUAGCCGACCUGAGAGGGUGAUCGGCCACACUGGGACGGAGACACGGCCCAGACUCCUACGGGAGGCAGCAGUAGGGAAUCUUCGGCAAUGGACGAAAGUCUGACCGAGCAACGCCGCGUGAGUGAAGAAGGUUUUCGGAUCGUAAAACUCUGUUGUUAGAGAAGCGGUAUCUAACCAGAAAGCCACGGCUAACUACGUGCCAGCAGCCGCGGUAAUAC
rnacentral:rRNA from 1 species